rnacentral:rRNA from 1 species
GGGUUGUGAGGUUAAGCGACUAAGCGUACACGGUGGAUGCCCUGGCAGUCAGAGGCGAUGAAGGACGUGCUAAUCUGCGAAAAGCGUCGGUAAGGUGAUAUGAACCGUUAUAGCCGGCGAUGUCCGAAUGGGGAAACCCAGUGCAAUUCGUUGCACUAUCGUUAACUGAAUACAUAGGUUAACGAGGCGAACCGGGGGAACUGAAACAUCUAAGUACCCCGAGGAAAAGAAAUCAACCGAGAUUCCCCCAGUAGCGGCGAGCGAACGGGGAGCAGCCCAGAGUCUGAAUCAGCUUGUGUGUUAGUGGAACGGUCUGGAAAGUCCGACGGUACAGGGUGAUAGUCCCGUACACCAAAAUGCACAGGCUGUGAACUCGAAGAGUAGGGCGGGACACGUGGUAUCCUGUCUGAAUAUGGGGGGACCAUCCUCCAAGGCUAAAUACUCCUGACUGACCGAUAGUGAACCAGUACCGUGAGGGAAAGGCGAAAAGAACCCCGGCGAGGGGAGUGAAAAAGAACCUGAAACCGUGUACGUACAAGCAGUGGGAGCACCUUCGGGUGUGACUGCGUACCUUUUGUAUAAUGGGUCAGCGACUUAUAUUCUGUAGCAAGGUUAACCGUAUAGGGGAGCCGCAGGGAAACCGAGUCUUAACUGGGCGUUAAGUUGCAGGGUAUAGACCCGAAACCCGGUGAUCUAGCCAUGGGCAGGUUGAAGGUUGGGUAACACUAACUGGAGGACCGAACCGACUAAUGUUGAAAAAUUAGCGGAUGACUUGUGGCUGGGGGUGAAAGGCCAAUCAAACCGGGAGAUAGCUGGUUCUCCCCGAAAGCUAUUUAGGUAGCGCCUCGUGAAUUCAUCUUCGGGGGUAGAGCACUGUUUCGGCUAGGGGGUCAUCCCGACUUACCAACCCGAUGCAAACUACGAAUACCGAAGAAUGUUAUCACGGGAGACACACGGCGGGUGCUAACGUCCGUCGUGAAGAGGGAAACAACCCAGACCGCCAGCUAAGGUCCCAAAGUCAUGGUUAAGUGGGAAACGAUGUGGGAAGGCACAGACAGCCAGGAUGUUGGCUUAGAAGCAGCCAUCAUUUAAAGAAAGCGUAAUAGCUCACUGGUCGAGUCGGCCUGCGCGGAAGAUGUAACGGGGCUAAACCAUGCACCGAAGCUGCGGCAGCGACACUAUGUGUUGUUGGGUAGGGGAGCGUUCUGUAAGCCUGCGAAGGUGGCCUGUGAGGGUUGCUGGAGGUAUCAGAAGUGCGAAUGCUGACAUAAGUAACGAUAAAGCGGGUGAAAAGCCCGCUCGCCGGAAGACCAAGGGUUCCUGUCCAACGUUAAUCGGGGCAGGGUGAGUCGACCCCUAAGGCGAGGCCGAAAGGCGUAGUCGAUGGGAAACAGGUUAAUAUUCCUGUACUUGGUGUUACUGCGAAGGGGGGACGGAGAAGGCUAUGUUAGCCGGGCGACGGUUGUCCCGGUUUAAGCAUGUAGGCUGGUUGUCCAGGCAAAUCCGGAUAAUCAAGGCUGAGGUGUGAUGACGAGGCACUACGGUGCUGAAGUAACAAAUGCCCUGCUUCCAGGAAAAGCCUCUAAGCAUCAGGUAACAUUAAAUCGUACCCCAAACCGACACAGGUGGUCAGGUAGAGAAUACCAAGGCGCUUGAGAGAACUCGGGUGAAGGAACUAGGCAAAAUGGUGCCGUAACUUCGGGAGAAGGCACGCUGGUGUGUAGGUGAAGUCCCUGCGGAUGGAGCUGAGACCAGUCGAAGAUACCAGCUGGCUGCAACUGUUUAUUAAAAACACAGCACUGUGCAAACACGAAAGUGGACGUAUACGGUGUGACGCCUGCCCGGUGCCGGAAGGUUAAUUGAUGGGGUUAUCCGUAAGGAGAAGCUCUUGAUCGAAGCCCCGGUAAACGGCGGCCGUAACUAUAACGGUCCUAAGGUAGCGAAAUUCCUUGUCGGGUAAGUUCCGACCUGCACGAAUGGCGUAAUGAUGGCCAGGCUGUCUCCACCCGAGACUCAGUGAAAUUGAACUCGCUGUGAAGAUGCAGUGUACCCGCGGCAAGACGGAAAGACCCCGUGAACCUUUACUAUAGCUUGACACUGAACAUUGAGCCUUGAUGUGUAGGAUAGGUGGGAGGCUUUGAAGCGUGGACGCCAGUCUGCGUGGAGCCAACCUUGAAAUACCACCCUUUAAUGUUUGAUGUUCUAACGUUGGCCCCUUACCGGGGUUGCGGACAGUGUCUGGUGGGUAGUUUGACUGGGGCGGUCUCCUCCCAAAGCGUAACGGAGGAGCACGAAGGUUAGCUAAUCCUGGUCGGACAUCAGGAGGUUAGUGCAAUGGCAUAAGCUAGCUUGACUGCGAGCGUGACGGCGCGAGCAGGUGCGAAAGCAGGUCAUAGUGAUCCGGUGGUUCUGAAUGGAAGGGCCAUCGCUCAACGGAUAAAAGGUACUCCGGGGAUAACAGGCUGAUACCGCCCAAGAGUUCAUAUCGACGGCGGUGUUUGGCACCUCGAUGUCGGCUCAUCACAUCCUGGGGCUGAAGUAGGUCCCAAGGGUAUGGCUGUUCGCCAUUUAAAGUGGUACGCGAGCUGGGUUUAGAACGUCGUGAGACAGUUCGGUCCCUAUCUGCCGUGGGCGCUGGAGAAUUGAGGGGGGCUGCUCCUAGUACGAGAGGACCGGAGUGGACGCAUCACUGGUGUUCGGGUUGUCAUGCCAAUGGCACUGCCCGGUAGCUAAAUGCGGAAGAGAUAAGUGCUGAAAGCAUCUAAGCACGAAACUUGCCCCGAGAUGAGUUCUCCCUGAGACUUUAAGUCUCCUGAAGGAACGUUAAAGACGAUGACGUUGAUAGGCCGGGUGUGUAAGCGCAGCGAUGCGUUGAGCUAACCGGUACUAAUGAACCGUGAGGCUUAACCUUACAACGCCGAAG